rnacentral:rRNA from 1 species
CGUACACUCCUACGGGAGGCAGCAGUAGGGAAUCUUCCACAAUGGGUGCAAACCUGAUGGAGCAAUGCCGCGUGAGUGAAGAAGGUCUUCGGAUCGUAAAGCUCUGUUGUUAGAGAAGAACACGUGCUAGGUAACUACUAGCGCCUUGACGGUAUCUAACCAGAAAGUCACGGCUAACUACGUGCCAGCAGCCGCGGUAAUACGUAGGUGACAAGCGUUGUCCGGAUUUAUUGGGCGUAAAGGGAGCGCAGGCGGUCUGUUUAGUCUAAUGUGAAAGCCCACGGCUUAACCGUGGAACGGCAUUGGAAACUGACAGACUUGAAUGUAGAAGAGGAAAAUGGAAUUCCAAGUGUAGCGGUGGAAUGCGUAGAUAUUUGGAGGAACACCAGUGGCGAAGGCGAUUUUCUGGUCUAACAUUGACGCUGAGGCUCGAAAGCGUGGGGAGCGAACAGGAUUAGAUACCCUAGUAGUCCCAUGAU